rnacentral:rRNA from 1 species
UACGAAGGGUGCAAGCGUUAUCCGGAUUCAUUGGGUUUAAAGGGUGCGUAGGCGGAGCGUUAAGUCAGUGGUGAAAUCCUGCAGCUCAACUGUAGACUUGCCAUUGAUACUGACGCUCUUGAGUGCGCUUGAAGUAGGCGGAAUGUGCCGUGUAGCAGUGAAAUGCUUAGAUAUGGCACAGAACACCAAUUGCGAAGGCAGCUCACUAAACUGUAACUGACGCUGAGGCACGAAAGCGUGGGGAGCAAACAGG